CACCCUGGACUUAGAUAAAGGAUCAUAUUAUAGGACAUGGGACCUGGUUCCCUAGCAGCUUUCUAAAGUGUCUAAUUGACACAACCUGGAAGUUUAUGGAAAAGUCAAUAUGCCUGCAGUUAAUCAUGAGUCACUGAGAAGAAAGGGGACAAAAGCAAGAAGUCUGAAGAUAACUUCUUCUCCUUUCUUUCCCUAGGCAACCGUUGGAAAGGCCCCAAGGCUCUGACCAACAUUUCAUGCAUGUUCCAAAAUAUUGCAUCAUGCUAUGCUUUCUAGAAGAACUUUAGGACAAGCCUCCAAAGAAAAGUGAAGAUGUGAACCAUUAGCAACCAACACUGCAACAGCUGAGGCAUGGAUGAAUCAGGUGAUUGGGCUUCAAAUAUUUUUUGCUGUAAAGAGAAGAUACCACUUCAAUCUUUCAUCCCGUGGCUGUGUCUAUAUGAAAUGAGGCAAUAACAGUAAAUCAAUUCCAUUAAAGGUUGGUUAAUUUAGGAAAGAAAAUACCUGC
rnacentral:lncRNA from 1 species